rnacentral:rRNA from 1 species
UACAGAGGGUGCAAACGUUGUUCGGAAUUACUGGGCGUAAAGCGCGUGUAGGCUGCUCCGAAAGUCGGAUGUGAAAGCCCUGGGCUCAACCUAGGAAGUGCAUUCGAAACUUCGGAGCUGGAGUCCUGGAGAGGAAGGCGGAAUUCUCGGUGUAGAGGUGAAAUUCGUAGAUAUCGAGAGGAACACCGGUGGCGAAGGCGGCCUUCUGGACAGUGACUGACGCUGAGACGCGAAAGCGUGGGGAGCAAACAGG